rnacentral:rRNA from 1 species
UACAGAGGUCUCAAGCGUUUGUUCGGAUUCAUUGGGCGUAAAGGGUGCGUAGGUGGCGCCGUAAGUCAGGUGUGAAAUUUCGGAGCUUAACUCCGAAACUGCAUUUGAUACUGCGGUGCUUUGAGGACUGGAGAGGAGACUGGAAUUCAUGGUGUAGCAGUGAAAUGCGUAGAGAUCAUGAGGAAGACCAGUGGCGAAGGCGGGUCUCUGGACAGUUCCUGACACUGAGGCACGAAGGCCAGGGGAGCAAACGGG